UACGUAGGGUGCAAGCGUUAAUCGGAAUUACUGGGCGUAAAGCGUACGCAGGCGGCUUUGCAAGACAGGUGUGAAAUCCCCGGGCCUAACCUGGGAACUGCAUUUGUGACUGCAUGGCUAGAGUUUGUCAGAGGGGGGUGGAAUUCCACGUGUAGCAGUGAAAUGCGUAGAUAUGUGGAGGAACACCGCUGGCGAAGGCAGCCCCCUGGGAUGUGACUGACGCUCAUGUACGAAAGCGUGGGGAGCAAAUAGG
rnacentral:rRNA from 1 species